GCCCCGGUAGCUCAGCCUGGUGGAGCGCCUCACUGGUAAUGAGGAGGUCCCGGGUUCGAAUCCCGGCCGGGGCUUCA
rnacentral:tRNA from 1 species